GAGAGAGAGAGAAACCUUCAUCUUUCAUUCCAAUUUCUUACUCCAAUCUUAAGUUCUAACCGAUAGAAUUGCAAAUUACUCCAUAAAAGUUGUUUACUAAGGAGAUUCCAAGGUGUUUGUGGAGCUAAUUUGGGAAGAAGAACUCUAAGCCAUCACCUUUCUUGAGAUUUCAAGGUAUCAUGUCUAGCAAUCCAUUCUUUGUUCUUAAUAAUGGUUUAUUAGUGACUUGUGUUGGCUUAAGAGGUGAUUUUAUGGAAGAUUUCUUGGAUUAAAGUGAAGUUAGUUAAAUUUCUGAUUUUUUUGGGAAUUUUCUAUUUUCCUAUGAUGGAUAUGGUUAGCCUUGAAUUGAUGGUUCUAAAUGGUGUUAAAUAGCUCUCUUGUACGUUAAUUGUGGUUAUUUGCGGAAAAUUUCAGCUUUGUGCGGAAAUUUCAGGUUUGGGUUUCAAAUCUGCCCUGUUCUGACCGGAUUUAUUUGAGCAUGUUAGAGGCCAAAUCAGUCUUAGGUUAAAACAUGGAAGUUGUAGAAAAUGGUGUUAACUAGCUGCCUGUAAAAUUUCAGCUCGAUCUGAGUACUGUAGCCUAUGAAAUGACCAAAAUAUCCUUGACUGCCCAUGAACCCGGUUUCCCGCCCAGAUUUCUGUUUUCGUGGAGUUUUCCAUUUUUGACCAUGAAAUUGCAUGAUUUGGCUUUUGAGAUAUUCAUAAGAAAUGUAGGUUUAUGUCUUGGCUUCGAAACGCCAUAAGAUUCGUUUCAAUCUGAUAAGUGUAGUUUCAAUUAUGGAUAUUGUGCCGAAAGAUGUAUUUGAUAGUCUAUGAUGUGUAUGUGGUUGAUUUAAGAUGAAUUGUUGUUGCUUGUAGGAUGGAAAAGUAAGGAAAUGUAGGGGAAAUGCUGUCCGAUCUUUGAAAGCAUUUGAUUGCUUUGAGUUUGAGUUGAAGGGCUUGAACUUGAGCAAGGCAAUGACGUAUGAUUGAUGGUUCCUGAGCCGUGGUUGGUGAGUGGCCCUAAACUGUUUCUAAAGUACUUUUGAAAUGUUUCUUGCAUUAUUUACUCGACUGCAUAUCAUGUGUGCGCGCAUGCGAGUUCAUGACAUGAUUUGGCUUAACUGAGUUCUUGGGAAGUCUGUGCUGAACACCAACGGCUCCACCUCUGUUCAUUUGGAGCAAAUGACUCCCUCUUACUGUUUCACUGCUACUGGAUCUAUUUGAGCGUUGGAUGUUUAAGUACAAUGAUUUCACUGGCUCAUGAGAGCAAUAAACGUACAUUUGAUUACUGAUUCAUGACAUCAUUGAAAUGAACUAUUGUGAAACUGAUUUGAUUACUGAUUUGACUGGUUACUCGCUGAGUUUCUAGCUCAUCCCAAAAAAAUAUUUUAUUCUCCUCCACAGGGCUCGAGGCGAAGGAAGGGCUUGUAGUACUUAUUCACGUGACUAGAUGGCAUAUAUCUCGUACCAUUUGGAUUUGGAAUCAUUUUAUGUAUAGUUGGG
rnacentral:lncRNA from 1 species